UCUCCUGUAGCUCAGUGGUUAGAGCGGUGUGGAAGGUUCGACUCCUGUUGGGGGAA
rnacentral:tRNA from 1 species